UUCUAUCCGUAAAAUUGUUUAAAGCUGUUGAAAGCAACAUUAAUAAAUCGUUUUGCAUAGCUUUUCAUGUGUCUAGAAGCAAUUGAAAACGGCGUUGCUACUGUUUCAAAUAGUAAAACUGCUAAAAAUGUUAGUGAAACAAAAAGAUGUGCGAAAACAAGAUAUUCAAUGAAAAAGAGAAUGGUGUGAGUGUUAGGUAAUGUGAUACACCAAUUGAUUCAAGUUUGAAUUGGAAUAAGAAUGUAUGAGAUAUGAAAUAAGUAAAAGAAGAAGACAUAUACAGGAAGAAGCAAACUGGGUCCGGUGACGGUGACAGACGAUAUUUCACGAUAUUUACCCCUUUUCCGGCAUAAAGAUAAAAUAAUAUCCUGAUUAUAAUGAAGUGGAUACUGUGAAACUUCUCUGUGACGAGGUAAGAAUCUGGUUUGACUCGAAUGAAGCUUUAGUACCUGCAUCUAAAAUGAUGUCUCCGACCUCAUCGUCGUCAUUAUCAUGGUCACCACCAGCAUGCGGAAAUAUAUCUUCGGGAUUUUCGUGAAGCCAUUGGACAUUACCUAACGUUCCCUUGUUGGCUGAUCUGCAACCGAACCACCAAUACGCCGUCGCUCUAGGGAAUGCUGGCUCAGCAAUAUCCACCUACACAAUGUUUAACAUAGCUUAAUCAAAGUUUGGACAUCCAAGAGGCAGGAGACGCCUAUGGGGAAAAGACUCAACACUAGUCAUCAAAAAUUCUAUCGCGGUGACUAUCAAAAUACUUCCACAGGAUAAACUUGUUUUCUCAUAACGAAAACCCACGACGACGAGCACGGAGUCGACAAAGGAUGCACUUUCAUUUGUCACCGAGCGAUCCAUGAUCGCCGGAAGUGCGGAACGCUCGUCGUGACGCUGUCUGCGUUAAUAUUUAUGCUAAGCAGCGUAUAAUCAACUAACUGAAUUUUUGUUGGGCCCCGGGAGGAACGUCUGAUUGCUGGGCCACCUUUUUUGAGGUGCGAAUUAGUCGAAAUUGUUGAUAGACGAAAUAGGAAAUAGAACUACCUCGAUAAUUUUGUUGACAAUGACUUUAAUAAAAAUUUGUUUGGAUAAACGCUAUAUUGUUCGAAGAGGUCUAAAGGGAUAUCAUUCACAAAUUUGUACGUAUGUUUUCCAGAAUACGUAUUUUUUAUGCUUAUUAUAUUUUGGCACUUCACCCUCGAAAGAUCUGUAAUUUAUAGUCGAUUGUUCAAUUCUUGUAUUAAAUGACGAGCCUUGAAGGAAACAAUGAUUGAAUACCAAACAUAUGGUGCGUAAUAAUGAAGUAUUUACCUAAAGGCGGAUGAAACAUUCUAUUUAAAAUUCUAUAGUCAAUUCUUUAAAGAAUUAAAAAUUAAAUUUACAGUUAAUUAAAAUUUUGUACGACUAGCUUAGUUUAAUUAGAGUACAUGGUUAUAUAAUAUAAAAAUAUAGAGAAACGGAGUGAGAUAAAAGAGAAAUAUGUAUAUAUAUCCAACAACAAUACACACAGGCAGAACAUUAAAUUAUACUUUUAUUAUAUUCAUAAAAAUUAAAAUGUACACACCUUAUUGUUUAAGUUCAUACUCGUAUUAGCUUCUAUGCAAGUAUCGCAGUAUGUAUAAUAUUUAACAAUAGAGGUAUAGGUACUCUCGAGACGAGACGAGUUUACGAAAAGAAUACAUGAAAUUUUUUAUUUUGUUAUUUCCUUGGGGUGAUACGGUAUUUUGUAGCUUACUUCCGAUAAUUAUUAAUAUUAUUGACUGCUUAUAAAAUAAUACUAUUACACAAUAAGUCAUCUCUCGGUUUACGACACAGUUCCGGUGUGACUCCAUUAAACUUAUUUAUUCGCUUCAGCCUUCACAUGGCUCUACGAGAUCGAAAAAAGUAAUAUACGAUACUCUGUCUCUGGCAAUAAAUGAGGGAUACCGCGCGAUUCCGCUACGAGUCCGCUACUAAAUCAAACAAAGAAUGAUUAGCUCUUUUUCCUUUUUUUCGAAGAAAUUACAUGGAAUAUAUCACCUACCUAUACUUUUAUUUAUUUUUUUUUUUUCGUUAAUGUAUCAUAUAUUUUUUUGCUUUGUUUACUUAUCUGUCUUCACCGCUAAGCACGUCGUGCCACUAGUGCGUACGCCUGCGAUCGGAUGUGUGUGUGCGUGUGUAAUACGUAUGUGAUUGCUGUGUAAGUAAUAAAGGUUAAGAGGUGCUGCUCGAGAUUGUCGCGAAAUCGAAAGGAAACCUUCGCUUCGUAAUAAAGGCUAUAGUAAUAAAAAUGGGUCCAUUUAUGGUUAAGCGUGUAGGCUAACACGUGAAGAUAGGUGCUGAAAAAAUGAGGCGAGAAUUUAGUCGAUAUAUCUUGUGUGAGGUUUAAGUCAGAUUAAUGCUAAACAGACUGCAAUAUUGAUGGCAAUAACGCGAGUUUGCAUCGAGCCACGACUAAACUUAACUUCCAUACAAGCACGUUCGUCGAUGUAACGCGAUCUUGUUUCCUUUUUCUCGGCUCCUUUAAUCGUGCUCAGUCAUGUUGUGUUGUGUUCAUGUCCACGGGUGAGCAAGUGUGAGAAAUGAUCACACGAUGCUUUCUGAAAGUGUUCUCCGUACAACGGCCACUGUAGCACCAGUGCGCGCGAAAAAGGUACGAUGCUAAUUC